rnacentral:rRNA from 1 species
UACGUAGGGUGCGAGCGUUGUCCGGAAUUAUUGGGCGUAAAGAGCUCGUAGGCGGCUUGUCGCGUCGGCUGUGAAAACCUGGGGCUCAACCCCGGGCCUGCAGCCGAUACGGGCAGACUAGAGUUCGGCAGGGGAGACUGGAAUUCCUGGUGUAGCGGUGAAAUGCGCAGAUAUCAGGAGGAACACCGGUGGCGAAGGCGGGUCUCUGGGCCGAUACUGACGCUGAGGAGCGAAAGCGUGGGGAGCGAACAGG